CAAUGCUAUGAUGUAAUUAUUUUAUAUAAUGUAAAAUGGUUAUAUUGAUCCUAAGUAUUAUAGAAGUAAAUGAUAUUUAAGUUUUCACUAACACCAGUAUGUAGUUUUGGUUAAUGAAUGAGAGUUUGAACCAGAUUAGUUUUAAUAGAGUUGGUAAAUUUAGUGCCAGCAUCCGCGGUUAAACUAAAGACUCUAGUUAUAUAAAUAAUGGUGGAGUAGGUUAAUAAAUUAUGAAUUGGAUAAAUAUUUUAAGGAUUGUUAUUUAGAUGUAAAAUGUGUAAAUAAUAUAAUUUAUUUUGACUAAAAUAGAAAUGAAUUGAAUUAACGAUAUCUUAAUGUAAAACUAGGAUUAGAUACCCUAUUAUUUUUGAUGUAAAUUAGCGAAGAAAGCGCUUACCUGAGUACUACGAAUGAAAUUAAAUUUAAAACUCAAAGAACUUGGCGGUAUCUUAGACCAUUUAGGGGAACCUGUCUCGUAAUCGAUAGUCCACGUUUUACCUAACCUUAUUUUGUAGAGUAUGUAUACCGUCGUCGUCAGGUAACUUUUAAUAAUUAAAAUAGUUAGCAAUAUAAAUUAGUUUUGAUUUAAACGUCAGAUCAAGGUGCAGCUUAUAAUAAGGUGAGGAUGGGUUACAAUUAAUAAUUUAUAAAACGGAGUGAGAAAUGAAAGUUUUAAGGAAGGAGGACUUAAAAGUAAAAAUUGUAAGAGUGUAAUUUUGAAUAAGGCUCUGAGAUGUGCACACAUCGCCCGUCGCUCUCGUUGAAAAAUGAGAUAAGUCGUAACAUAGUAAGGGUAACGGAAGUUGUCCUUAGGAAGAA
rnacentral:ncRNA from 1 species